rnacentral:rRNA from 1 species
UACCAGCACCCCGAGUGGUCGGGACGUUUAUUGGGCCUAAAGCAUCCGUAGCCGGUUCUACAAGUCUUCCGUUAAAUCCACCUGCUUAACAGAUGGGCUGCGGAAGAUACUAUAGAGCUAGGAGGCGGGAGAGGCAAGCGGUACUCGAUGGGUAGGGGUAAAAUCCGUUGAUCCAUUGAAGACCACCAGUGGCGAAGGCGGCUUGCCAGAAUGCGCCCGACGGUGAGGGAUGAAAGCUGGGGGAGCAAACCGG